rnacentral:rRNA from 1 species
AACGUACGCUGGCGGCACGCCUAACACAUGCAAGUCGAACGAAGUAGCAAUACUUAGUGGCAGACGGGUGAGUAACAUGUAGGUAUCUGCCCUUUGGCCUGGAAUAACACGAGGAAACUUGUGCUAAUACCGGAUAAGUCUUUACGGAGAAAGCUUUAUGCACCAUUGGAUGAGCCUGCACUUGAUUAGUUUGUUGGUGGGGUAAUGGCCUACCAAGACUGUGAUCAAUAGCUGAUUUGAGAGGAUGAUCAGCCACAUUGGGACUGAGACACGGCCCAAACUCCUACGGGAGGCAGCAGUGGGGAAUCUUGCACAAUGGAGGAAACUCUGAUGCAGCGAUGCCGCGUGAGUGAAGAAGGCCCUUGGGUUGUAAAGCUCUUUCGUCGGGGAAGAAAAUGACUGUACCCGAAUAAGAAGGUCCGGCUAACUUCGUGCCAGCAGCCGCGGUAAUACGAAGGGACCUAGCGUAGUUCGGAAUUACUGGGCUUAAAGAGUUCGUAGGUGGUUGAAAAAGUUAGUGGUGAAAUCCCAGAGCUUAACUCUGGAACUGCCAUUAAAACUUUUCAGCUAGAGUAAGAUAGAGGAAAGCAGAAUUUCU